UACGUAGGGUGCAAGCGUUGUCCGGAAUUAUUGGGCGUAAAGAGCUCGUAGGCGGUUUGUUGCGUCGGCUGUGAAAUCCCGAGGCUCAACCUCGGGUCUGCAGUCGAUACGAGCAAACUAGAGUGUUGCAGGGGAGACUGGAAUUCCUGGUGUAGCGGUGAAAUGCGUAGAUAUCAGGAGGAACACCGAUGGCGAAGGCAGCUUCCUGGUCCAAUUCUGACGCUGAGGUGCGAAAGCGUGGGUAGCGAACAGG
rnacentral:rRNA from 1 species